CCAGGGCGUGCAGCAGUGUGCGGCACCUGAAGAGACCUCGCCGUGGAGAAGCAGCAGCGCCGAGCCGAUGGAGCGGCCGUGUCUGCAGGCGCACGGAGAGCCUCGUGGCUGAGUUGCCCCUGCAACUCUCUUAAAAGAGCGAUCACUGAGGGUGUUGUUGAGCCUUCGGAGCAUAGGGCGCCUUUUUGAAGGCGACCGGCUCCCGGAUGGUCUCAGCUCCCGAAGAGGCUCCGCGGCCGGGCUGGAGCAGGCAGCGGGCGCGGGCCGAAGGUCCAGAGCUUUGUGUGAGGCAGCAGCAGCAUCGCGGGAGGUGAAGCUGGAUGUCGACGUUGGAGGUGACGUGUGCCCGGUGAGCCGUGAGCGCUAGCCAGAAGCCGUUGCUGUCGCUGAAGUCUGACUCGGUGGUGCCAGUCUAAGCCUCCAGGACGGUGCGUUUUAAGCAAUCUCCUGCCAAGAUGCCGAACUUGUCUCAGCAGCCGAUGAGAGUUUGUCUGCCUGUGAUGCCAUUCCUUGAAGGAAGGGGAGAAUGUUUGAGCUUCUGGGCCACCGUGCAUCUUUUGGAGCUUGUCAGCCCAUCGGUUUCCUACGGCUUCCUCCUCCGAGUCUCCUGAUGGGAAAGUAAACCGAGUAUGCAAGAGGAGCCAAGUGUGUUUUGAGAGUUUCCUUCUGUUUUGUUUCCCAAGCUUUUUUCCCCAUUCCUUUAGGAGGUGUUAAUAAAGUUAUUCUUUUUCCACAUGGACCUUCCCUUGUUUCACGUUCUUCAGUUGAAAAAGAGAGUUUGCCUGCCCGUGAUGCCGUUCCUUGAAGGAAGGGGAAAAUGUUAGAGCCGUCUGGCCACCGUGCAUCUGUUGGAGCUUUUCAGCCCGUCGGUUUCCUACGGCCUCCUGCGAGUCCCCUGUUGGGACCUUGGAGGGAUUUUUGA